rnacentral:rRNA from 1 species
GUUAUAUGGUCAAGUGAAGAAGCGCAUACGGUGGAUGCCUUGGCAGUCAGAGGCGAUGAAAGACGUGGUAGCCUGCGAAAAGCUUCGGGGAGUCGGCAAACAGACUUUGAUCCGGAGAUGUCUGAAUGGGGGAACCCAGCCAUCAUAAGAUGGUUAUCUUGUACUGAAUACAUAGGUGCAAGAGGCGAACCAGGGGAACUGAAACAUCUAAGUACCCUGAGGAAAAGAAAUCAACCGAGAUUCCCUUAGUAGUGGCGAGCGAACGGGGACUAGCCCUUAAGUGGCUUUGAGAUUAGCGGAACGCUCUGGAAAGUGCGGCCAUAGUGGGUGAUAGCCCUGUACGCGAAAAUCUCUUAGUCAUGAAAUCGAGUAGGACGGAGCACGAGAAACUUUGUCUGAAUAUGGGGGGACCAUCCUCCAAGGCUAAAUACUACUGACUGACCGAUAGUGAACUAGUACCGUGAGGGAAAGGCGAAAAGAACCCCGGAGAGGGGAGUGAAAUAGAUCCUGAAACCGUAUGCGUACAAGCAGUGGGAGCCCACUUUGUUGGGUGACUGCGUACCUUUUGUAUAAUGGGUCAGCGACUUAUUUUCAGUGGCGAGCUUAACCGAAUAGGGGAGGCGUAGCGAAAGCGAGUCUUAAUAGGGCGUCUAGUCGCUGGGAAUAGACCCGAAACCGGGCGAUCUAUCCAUGGGCAGGUUGAAGGUUAGGUAACACUGACUGGAGGACCGAACCGACUACCGUUGAAAAGUUAGCGGAUGACCUGUGGAUCGGAGUGAAAGGCUAAUCAAGCUCGGAGAUAGCUGGUUCUCCUCGAAAGCUAUUUAGGUAGCGCCUCAUGUAUCACUGUAGGGGGUAGAGCACUGUUUCGGCUAGGGGGUCAUCCCGACUUACCAAACCGAUGCAAACUCCGAAUACCUACAAGUGCCGAGCAUGGGAGACACACGGCGGGUGCUAACGUCCGUCGUGAAAAGGGAAACAACCCAGACCGUCAGCUAAGGUCCCAAAGUUAUGGUUAAGUGGGAAACGAUGUGGGAAGGCUUAGACAGCUAGGAGGUUGGCUUAGAAGCAGCCACCCUUUAAAGAAAGCGUAAUAGCUCACUAGUCGAGUCGGCCUGCGCGGAAGAUGUAACGGGGCUCAAACCAUACACCGAAGCUACGGGUAUCACUUAGGUGAUGCGGUAGAGGAGCGUUCUGUAAGCCUGUGAAGGUGAGUUGAGAAGCUUGCUGGAGGUAUCAGAAGUGCGAAUGCUGACAUGAGUAACGACAAUGGGUGUGAAAAACACCCACGCCGAAAGACCAAGGUUUCCUGCGCAACGUUAAUCGACGCAGGGUUAGUCGGUCCCUAAGGCGAGGCUGAAAAGCGUAGUCGAUGGAAAACAGGUUAAUAUUCCUGUACUUCUGGUUAUUGCGAUGGAGGGACGGAGAAGGCUAGGCCAGCUUGGCGUUGGUUGUCCAAGUUUAAGGUGGUAGGCUGAAAUCUUAGGUAAAUCCGGGGUUUCAAGGCCGAGAGCUGAUGACGAGUUACCCUUUGGGUGACGAAGUGGUUGAUGCCAUGCUUCCAAGAAAAGCUUCUAAGCUUCAGAUAACCAGGAACCGUACCCCAAACCGACACAGGUGGUUGGGUAGAGAAUACCAAGGCGCUUGAGAGAACUCGGGUGAAGGAACUAGGCAAAAUGGCACCGUAACUUCGGGAGAAGGUGCGCCGGUGAGGGUGAAGCACUUGCUGCGUAAGCCCACGCCGGUCGAAGAUACCAGGCCGCUGCGACUGUUUAUUAAAAACACAGCACUCUGCAAACACGAAAGUGGACGUAUAGGGUGUGACGCCUGCCCGGUGCCGGAAGGUUAAUUGAUGGGGUUAGCUAACGCGAAGCUCUUGAUCGAAGCCCCGGUAAACGGCGGCCGUAACUAUAACGGUCCUAAGGUAGCGAAAUUCCUUGUCGGGUAAGUUCCGACCUGCACGAAUGGCGUAACGAUGGCGGCGCUGUCUCCACCCGAGACUCAGUGAAAUUGAAAUCGCUGUGAAGAUGCAGUGUAUCCGCGGCUAGACGGAAAGACCCCGUGAACCUUUACUAUAGCUUUGCACUGGACUUUGAAUUUGCUUGUGUAGGAUAGGUGGGAGGCUUUGAAGCGUGGACGCCAGUCUGCGUGGAGCCAUCCUUGAAAUACCACCCUGGCAACUUUGAGGUUCUAACUCAGGUCCGUUAUCCGGAUCGAGGACAGUGUAUGGUGGGUAGUUUGACUGGGGCGGUCUCCUCCUAAAGAGUAACGGAGGAGUACGAAGGUGCGCUCAGACCGGUCGGAAAUCGGUCGUAGAGUAUAAAGGCAAAAGCGCGCUUGACUGCGAGACAGACACGUCGAGCAGGUACGAAAGUAGGUCUUAGUGAUCCGGUGGUUCUGUAUGGAAGGGCCAUCGCUCAACGGAUAAAAGGUACUCCGGGGAUAACAGGCUGAUACCGCCCAAGAGUUCAUAUCGACGGCGGUGUUUGGCACCUCGAUGUCGGCUCAUCACAUCCUGGGGCUGAAGCCGGUCCCAAGGGUAUGGCUGUUCGCCAUUUAAAGUGGUACGCGAGCUGGGUUUAGAACGUCGUGAGACAGUUCGGUCCCUAUCUGCCGUGGACGUUUGAGAUUUGAGAGGGGCUGCUCCUAGUACGAGAGGACCGGAGUGGACGAACCUCUGGUGUUCCGGUUGUCACGCCAGUGGCAUUGCCGGGUAGCUAUGUUCGGAAAAGAUAACCGCUGAAAGCAUCUAAGCGGGAAACUUGCCUCAAGAUGAGAUCUCACUGGAACCUUGAGUUCCCUGAAGGGCCGUCGAAGACUACGACGUUGAUAGGUUGGGUGUGUAAGCGCUGUGAGGCGUUGAGCUAACCAAUACUAAUUGCCCGUGAGGCUUGACCAUAUAACACCCAAGCAAUU